GACGAACCGAGCGAACGUUGUUCGGAAUCACUGGGCUUAAAGGGCGCGUAGGCGGCUUGUCAAGUCAGGGGUGAAAUCUUUCGGCUCAACCGGAAAAGUGCCCUUGAUACUGACAGGCUCGAGGGAGGUAGGGGCAUGUGGAACUUCUGGUGGAGCGGUGAAAUGCGUAGAUAUCGGAAGGAACACCGGUGGCGAAAGCGGUCGACUGGACCUUUUCUGACGCUGAGGCGCGAAAGCCAGGGGAGCAAACGGG
rnacentral:rRNA from 1 species